rnacentral:lncRNA from 1 species
GCCGGUUCAUCUCCUAAAAUCUUUGAUCCAGGAGGUCAUCUCGACUGUGAGUCUCGAGGGUCUUUCGGUGGAAUGGAGGUAGGGACCCUCCGGGGGUGGAAUCGUGAUCGGAUGGAGGGCUUUCUGCCUUCUGCUUCCCCUUUUCAGGGAAGACAGGGCGACUGGCCCAAGUGGCCCGCCCGGUCGCCAAAUUUUGGAACUCCGGCGAUGCUC